GAUGAUGUGAGAAGAGUGUGUUUAAAAGGUGGAGGGAGUAUUUUGAGGAGGUGAAGAAAAUGAGAGGAUGGAUAACAUGGAGAGAGUAAAUUAGCAAGUGCAUAUACUGGAAAGGAUGACGUGAGGACAGCUAUGAGGAGGAUGGAGAGUGGAAAGGCGGUUGGUCCAGAUGGCAUGCCAGUGGAGGCAUGGACAUGUUUAAGAGAGAUGGCAGU